UGUGCUGUGUGGUAUCUGCCCUCAGCAGUAUCUCCCUGAUGGAGUGUUCAAAAAGCAGUGCUACCAUAUUUCAGCAGAUGGCUCCGUUGGUUUUCAUGUAGGUGUCCUGGUUAAACUUGCUAUUUCUGUUGAAGCAAGU
rfam:Cuculus canorus isolate BGI_N303 unplaced genomic scaffold scaffold15, whole genome shotgun sequence.